rnacentral:piRNA from 2 species
UGCAAAGCCAUCUCUGCAGUAAUGCUGGAGU